GUAUUUGUUGCAUGUUGAAAACAUCAGACAUCGUCCGAUCACCGAAAUUAAACAACGUCAUAUCUGGUCAGUACUUGGGAGGGUGACCUCUUGGGGACACCGGGGCUUCUCUUUUCU